GGACGAGGUUCCCAGAAAAGCUGUGUGGGCAAGACGUGUCCCGUACUAAAACUGACACAGGUAGGCGAGGCGAAUAGCCUCAGGCGCUCGAGAGAACGGUCGUGAAGGAACUAGGCAAAAUCACUCCGUAAGUUCGCGAGAAGGAGGCCCUUCGGGGCGCAGAGAAAAGGCCCUGGCAACUGUUUAUCAAAAACACAGCACUGUGCUAACUCGCAAGAGGAUGUAUACAGUGUGACGCUUGCCCAAUGCCCGAAUGUCACGGAAGCAGGUUAGCUUCGGCGAAGCUUGCAACUUAAGCACGGGUCAAUGGCGGCCGUAACUAUGACGGUCCUAAGGUAGCGAAGUUCCUUGUCGGGUAAGUUCCGACGCGCAUGAAUAGCGUAAUGACUGGGGCACUGUCUCCACGACCGACUCGGUGAAAUAGUAGUGGCGGUGUAGAUGCCGCCUACCCGCAGCAAGACGGAAAGACCCCGUGAACCUUUACUGCAGGCUCGUAUUGGUCAUGUGCACAUGGUGCGCAGGAUAGGUGGGAGGCUUUGAAGCCGGCGUUUAGGCGUUGGUGGAGCCAUUGGUGAGAUACCACCCUCCGUGAGUGUGUGGCCUAACCUCGAUUCCCGUGAAGCCGGGCGAGGGACAGUGCGUGCUGGGUAGUUUGACUGGGGCGGUCUCCUCCUAAAGAGUAACGGAGGAGCGCAAAGGUUGGCUCAGCACGG
rnacentral:rRNA from 14 species